rnacentral:lncRNA from 1 species
CCCACUUCUACUCCGGAAUUGGUAAUAGCUGAAGUACCCCGUUUGGGUAUUAAUACUCUGUCUUGACUCGCUGACAUACCAAACACUUGAAAAAAAAGUAUGCCACAUCUCUUUUCAUCCUGUUAUACUAAAAUCGGGAGCGCAUGCUUUGAUAAAUCUUAUUUCUUCUGGGAUGCGUGACAAACUUUGAGCUAUGAGCCUCAGUCAUGAUGUCCCUUUUCAUCUCACUGUCAUAUAGAACACACACCCUGUCAUGAAAUCUAAGCAAUCUAUCGGCAGAGACUCGACAUU